UUAUGACUUUCUGGAGUGUUAUUAACAUUGAACCGUCACAGUUUGGUUGGGUUCAGGAAAAGAUCAUACGAUUACUACAUAACAUACAUAACAGUGUUUCAAAAUGUUACGUAAAGAUGCAAAUCCAUCGGGAGGAUAUUAACGGAUCGCAGCACUUCAGCACAACAAACACCCUCCCCUCCAUCGUCUCAUCUCUCAUGAUGCUCGGAGGGGCGAGAGAAAGGUAACAGGCUGGAAAAGUCAAAGCCAAUCAGCGUUACUCCGCUCCUGCCUGGAUGUUCAGUACAAGGUAGAGCCCCGGAAAGCUGACAUAGCCGAUCAUCGCUGAAAGGCCAUACGUACCCCCUGAACCUGCCUCCCCUCCCACCCGGACACCUCGUCAUGUCACGUUAACCUCCUCCCACGUAGUGAAAGACAUGCGUGCAUCCCACCAACCCGGAGUCAUCGUGAAUUUAGCUUCAUGCGAGGAGAGCUUUCAUCGGCAGGAUCAUCACGUUGCAGCUCCUCUGCCCUCGAGGCAAACACUGUAUCUCCUCUGAAUUACUUUGUUAGACCCGCAAACCUCCUCAAAAAUAGGUUGGAGGAUCCGUAGAGACUUCAGAUGCAGAGCAAUCUGGAAAAAAUUCACAAGGUCUUCCAGCAAAACACUGAGAGCAGAUUCAUCUUUUGUAAAGUCCCUCAAACUAUGCAUGUCUGCAGAAUGAACAGGAGGUGAUCGCAUGUAUCCUCUUAAAACAAUUUACUUUCCCUCUAAGCAAAGUUUGUAUAAAACAUGUUUGUUCUGUGAUACAGUUUCUUCCUGUAUUCUCUUUAUUUCCAUCAGUUUUGUAAUUCUCUCCUGAAUCCCUGAAGUAGAGACGCGUUUCUGAGACAAAAGUUUCCUUUUCAAGAAGUCUCUUUGAAAUGUAUUUCCCUUCCACUCAAGUCAAAAGGUUGUUUUUCUUCUGAAUCUAUGGUUUCCAUGGUGCUUCUUAACUUCAAAAGGAACCAAAAACUAUGUACAGGGAAAGUUUCAGUGCUGUGUCAGCGUGUGUUUGCUCUUCUACUUCUAUUUUUGUGAUGUUUUUAACAGACCUUGAGACACAGGAGGUUUUGACCAGUUAAAACUUCAUCGAGCAUUACAUUCAUCUUGUAUUAAUUUUAAGGACCACAGACUAAAUUCCUCCUGCUUCCUGUUUCCUUAGGCUAAUUAAUGCUUUUUGGUUUUUGUUUAUGCUCCAUUUUGAGUCAUCAGGUUUUACACAAACUUGUGAGGUUCAUGCCAGCUGCCACCGAGUUGUGUCGUUAAAACAGAAUGGAGACCUAACAAAUAUUGACUUAUUCUGAAAAUAAUAUACAAAAAGCUCUCUGGAUGUCAAAUCAACCUGGCAUAACAUGAGUCAUCAGGUUUUAGACAAACUUGUGGAGUCCAUGCCAGGUCAAGUGCAUGUUGUCAUUUCAAUAUAAGCUGGACAAUGCACACAAAUAAAACAUU